rnacentral:rRNA from 1 species
UACGUAGGGUGCAAGCGUUAAUCGGAAUUACUGGGCGUAAAGCGUGCGCAGGCGGUGAUGUAAGACAGAUGUGAAAUCCCCGGGCUUAACCUGGGAACUGCAUUUGUGACUGCAUCGCUGGAGUGCGGCAGAGGGGGAUGGAAUUCCGCGUGUAGCAGCGAAAUGCGUAGAUAUGCGGAGGAACACCGAUGGCGAAGGCAAUCCCCUGGGCCUGCACUGACGCUGAGACGCGAAAGCGUGGGGAGCAAACAGG